rnacentral:rRNA from 1 species
CCUAGCCUUGGAGUGGGGAAUAACAGCCGGAAACGGCUGCUAAUACCGCAUGAUGUAUCUGGAUCGCAUGGUUCUGGAUACCAAAGAUUUAUCGCUCUGAGAUGGACUCGCGUCUGAUUAGCUAGUUGGUGAGGUAAUGGCUCACCAAGGCGACGAUCAGUAGCCGGACUGAGAGGUUGGCCGGCCACAUUGGGACUGAGACACGGCCCAG